GACGAACGCUGGCGGCGUGCUUAACACAUGCAAGUCGAACGGAAAGGCCCUGCUUUUGUGGGGUGCUCGAGUGGCGAACGGGUGAGUAACACGUGAGUAACCUGCCCUUGACUUUGGGAUAACUUCAGGAGACUGGGGCUAAUACCGGAUAGGAGCUCCUGCUGCAUGGUGGGGGUUGGAAAGUUUCGGCGGUUGGGGAUGGACUCGCGGCUUAUCAGCUUGUUGGUGGGGUAGUGGCUUACCAAGGCUUUGACGGGUAGCCGGCCUGAGAGGGUGACCGGCCACAUUGGGACUGAGAUACGGCCCAGACUCCUACGGGAGGCAGCAGUGGGGAAUAUCGCACAAUGGGCGGAAGCCUGAUGCAGCAACGCCGCGUGCGGGAUGACGGCCUUCGGGUUGUAAACCGCUUUCGCCUGUGACGAAGCGUGAGUGACGGUAAUGGGUAAAGAAGCACCGGCUAACUACGUG
rnacentral:rRNA from 1 species